rnacentral:rRNA from 1 species
GAUGAACGCUGGCGGCGUGCUUAACACAUGCAAGUCGAACGAAGCACUUUAAAACAAUCCUUCGGGUGCGUUUUAUUGUGACUUAGUGGCGGACGGGUGAGUAACGCGUGGGUAACCUGCCUCAUGCAGGGGGAUAACAGUUAGAAAUGACUGCUAAUACCGCAUAAGCGCACAGUACCGCAUGGUACAGUGUGAAAAGAUUUAUCAGCAUGAGAUGGACCCGCGUCUGAUUAGCUAGUUGGUGAGGUAACGGCUCACCAAGGCGACGAUCAGUAGCCGACUUGAGAGAGUGAUCGGCCACAUUGGGACUGAGACACGGCCCAA